UACAGAGGUCCCAAGCGUUGUUCGGAUUUACUGGGCGUAAAGGGUGCGUAGGCGGUGGGGUAAGUUUGAGGUGAAAGCUCCGGGCUCAACCCGGAAACUGCCUUGAAAACUAUCCGGCUAGAGGGUUGGAGGGGAGACUGGAAUUCUCGGUGUAGCAGUGAAAUGCGUAGAUCUCGAGAGGAACACCAGUGGCGAAGGCGGGUCUCUGGACAACACCUGACGCUGAGGCACGAAAGCCAGGGGAACAAACGGG
rnacentral:rRNA from 1 species